GCAGCCAUGCCGCGUGAAUGAUGAAGGUCUUAGGAUUGUAAAAUUCUUUCACCGGGGACGAUAAUGACGGUACCCGGAGAAGAAGCCCCGGCUAACUUCGUGCCAGCAGCCGCGGUAAUACGAAGGGGGCUAGCGUUGCUCGGAAUUACUGGGCGUAAAGGGAGCGUAGGCGGACAUUUAAGUCAGGGGUGAAAUCCCGGGGCUCAACCUCGGAAUUGCCUUUGAUACUGGGUGUCUUGAGUAUGAGAGAGGUGUGUGGAACUCCGAGUGUAGAGGUGAAAUUCGUAGAUAUUCGGAAGAACACCAGUGGCGAAGGCGACACACUGGCUCAUUACUGACGCUGAGGCUCGAAAGCGUGGGGAGCAAACAGGAUUAGAUACCCUGGUAGUCCACGCCGUAAACGAUGAUUGCUAGUUGUCGGGAUGCAUGCAUUUCGGUGACGCAGCUAACGCAUUAAGCAAUCCGCCUG
rnacentral:rRNA from 1 species